CUUCGCGUUCGCUGCGUGAGGCGGUGUGCGAGGCGGUCGGACGUGAGCGUGUUCGGCAAGGCUCUGGAAAGGCCGUCCUCUCUCCCAGUUCCCUGCUGUAGGCCCCCGACUCCCGCCCCCAAAAAGUGUUCGCCCCGGAUAAAUUUAGUUCAGGCUGGCCUUCUUCCAGAAGCUCAACAGUGCCAGUUUUAUCUGAAUGUUUCUAACUGGUUUCACAGACUUAAUCGCCCUUCUCUCCCUACAAUAUAGUGUUAUUACUUCUCCCUGACGAAGAUGAGGGGGAAGGUGAAAUAAGAAUGGCCAGGUCACCUGAGCACUGCCUUGUAACAUAACACGGGGGUCCCAAGAGAAAAAUCAGUUGCAUACCUAGCAGUGGAACAGUAGAACUGGAGUGUGCAUUUGGCUGACUGAAGACACGCUGGCGCUGUGAAAAUAACUUCUGAUGUCAGCAAGAUACUUCAUCUCACCUGCGUUGCACUGGUUCAAGCAGAGGGUCAGGGUCAAGUGUAUUGGCCUCUGUCCAUGCCAAGGCUGAAGGUGUCCAGUUCACAGGAUUUCCAAACCCCACAGAGUUGUGUACAGCAAGGAACAGGGAGGGGCUUGCACAAACAGCUGUAGAUCUGCUCCUUGGCGAGAUCCAAUUCGGAUGAACUCGACGACUACACAGUUCUCCUUCAGGCCUCUACUCCCUGAAGUUAAGGUUUUUUAAUGUUUUAUUACUCUCUAGCAUCCCUAAUACAACAAUUGUGGCUGCCAAGGUGUGGACCAAAGAUGGGGCUAGGCUCACUUGUUUUCCUAAACGGCCUCUCCUGCCGCUGUUACCAGAGGUGGACUAGUUGGCUGCAUGAGCCCUUAGUCUCGCCAACCAGGCUGUCUCUCUGAUUUUUACUUUCUGUUGCCAAUUCUCUUUCAUAGCUGCCAAAUCCAUCUCCUGAAAUCCUCACUCAGUAUUGCUUCUCAAACACAUUGUCUGUCGUUCCUUCUUAUUUUAUAAACAGCUGGACUGUUUGCUAGUUCAGCCUUCCAAGCGGCAUAGCUACCUAUUCUUAUUUGGAUGAGCCUGUCACAGGAAUGGAAAAAGGAGUAUUUAUCCAGUUUGAUGUAAAGCACUGGAGAAAGACCUCGUACUUUAUUGUUUUCAUCAACAUAAGAUCAUGGCCUCUAAAUUAACAUUUUUAGUAUUUUCCUGUUUGUGAGAAAUCUAGCAAGUGAACAGCCUCAGUGUGACAUGAACAUUAUAAUCCUUUCUAAAAUUACAUUUCUUUUAUCAUACAGCAGGUACUACAAAUUGAGAAUAAGGUUGAUUUCUAACACAUCAUCUUUUAUUGUCAUGAGUCCUGUUUUCCAAACUUCCUACUGAAAUUAUAAAUGUACUGAAUGCUUCAGAAUGCAAGACAAAAAUGUCAUUUCAGCCAGUGAUGGGGUUUUCAUCAGGAUAUGCAAAUGAGACUUUCAGAAGCCCAGUGGAAGAACAUCAUAUCAAUUAAUGGGGAGAUUAGAAGUCAAUCUGCUGAGUUUGUUUCCUCAUCAAAGACGGACAAAGAAAAUGCUCGUUGCCUGAAAAAUACACAUAAGUGUCAUCUGCCAGGAUUUGAAAGAAUCAGAAGCCAUCCUGAGAAAAUGAUGAAGUAAGCGGUGAGCAAUUGACCAUUCAAUUGACAGUGAACUAUUAAUGAAAAUGUUUUUCUUCACACCACAGAAAGGACCUGCCAUUUAAAAUGGACACAUUGGCACAUGCUAAAAUAUCAUCUCUGUACCAGACUUCACAAAGUUCUCUGUUAACUAACAUAAGUUCAUAUAUAACUCUCAUGCUUUUGUUUAUCCUUAUUUGGACAAGGCCAAAGGCUUUUUUUCAAUCCCUUGAAUUAUAUAGUCCAGAAAUUCACCAGACCUUCAAAAUUCAAAUCAGCUGUUAAAUUACUGAGAUAUUAUCAAAUCCAUUUUGUAAUAUUUUUUUUUCCCCAGAAAAACUGCACAUUUAUUCAGACAGAGAUUAACCUGCAGCAUGGCUGCAUAAAGUCAUGGUGUAUAUCAAUAAGAUGAUCCUUUGAACAAUGCUGGAGUACUUCCCUCACCCUGAAACUGAUGAAGAUUGCUACUGCAGAAAUGAGUGCAAAAAAAGGAUUUGUAGGGGUCCAGUCCCCCAAACUGCUGUCAGCAGAACUUCCAAAUAAGUUCUCUUGCAGUGUCAGUACUGGUUUUUUUCCCCCUAAUACUCACCUUGUAAUUUCUUACUUUUAGUCUACGAUUCCCAAAUGCACUGACCCAGUUGACCGAAUCUACCCUGGCAUAAGAAGCUGUAACUCCACGUCCUUCACUGAAGUUAUAUUUACCUGUAACACAGUUACACUGCGCUGGAACGUUUCACACAGGGAGGGUGUAGAGGUUAUCCAAACCACUUUCCCAUCCUGAGCGUCAGUCAUUGUACUUUAGCCACGUGCAGCAUUUUUACAAGGUAAAUAAUACAGUAAGAGUCAAAGAAAAUCAGUAAGACAAGAGGUUGAAGAGCAGACUGUCACUGAAAUUGGAAUGAUUUGUUUAAUAACACUGUGAAAUAGCACACUUCAGCUUCACCAGCUCAUCAGUGUCAGCUCCCCUAAUCUGUACAUGGCACUGAGAGCUUCUUAACGUAACAACGAAAUCCAUGGGCCAAAUUCACUUCUAGUGUAACGCUGCUGAAGUCGAUGAAGGUAUGUCAGAAUUAAUUUAGCCCAGUAAUUACUCUCCAUUAUCUGGAGUAAUGGUGGGGCUGCAACACCUGACGAAUGACAAACAUGGAUAAUACAGGUACUCUGCCGCAUGGAUGAAAGCAUCAGCAUGACCAUGCUUGGAAAUAGCUGAGAUCCAGUGUAGCCAGCACAGGCCCAGAACUGGAGGUGAAAUGACUUCUGCUGAACUUCGCGGGUGUCUUUGUACUGUGCUCCAAAAUGCUGCAGGCCGAGUAUGGGUUGCAGAGCUAGCGCGUCCUCCCCGAGCACAGAGGAGCAUAGUGCAAAGCUGCAGGAAUGGGGUUCCCUCUGGCCGGAUUUACUAGCUUCAUUUCAGCACCAGCUGGAUGGGUUCAUGGCAAAUCAGAAAAGGAGCCGCACCCCCCUGCUCCCUGUAGCUGGAGGACAACACUGAGACAUUAUGGCUGGAUCUGCACAGAGCUGAAGUGGAUUUAUAGGGGGCUUUAGCUGAUAUAUACCUAAAAUAUAGCUUGUAAGCAUUUAGCUUACAUAUAGGUCUGUACCAAAAUGGGCCACGUCUGGCACAUAUUGGCCACAGAUAAUUGAGAGUUAACUGGAUAUGAUUCAAACUAAAUCAUGUUUAAGAGACAGAUUUCUUUUCCUAGGAAUUUUCACGAAAACAGCCAAAUUCAAGAAGCAAAGCCAAAAUAAGAUGUAAUUUUAAAUUGUGGAUCCCUAAUGCACAAUGCACACACAUUGUAUGUGAUUUGUAAUUUAGAGGCCAGAGACGCAGUAAUUGCAUGUGUAGUAACAGUGGCACAUACCCCCAAGCACCAAUUCAAAUGGGACGCACCCAGCAGAAGUGAACUGGGGUGCCUGUUUCUCAUGCCUUGCCAUCCAGAAGGCUUACACAAAUCCAGGUCACUUUCUGUUUAAUCCCCUUUAUCCCAACGCUUUGUAACUUUUCCCAUCUCCUUACCUGCUCACAGUCAAACAACGUGGCUUUAGGGAUGGAUGCAUUUUGUUUACAUAAAAACCAUUUCCACGUAUGUCUUCAACAGCACUUAUGAACGUUGUCUGUCUGGUAACUGUCUUCCCUUUUUUAGGAAAAUGUUUAUAGACACAGAAGGGGCUAAAAGCACUGGUUAGCACCCUGGGAGAUGACAGCUCUUUGCAGGUAUCCAGAAGUGGAGAAGCAGCUGCUGUACCCUGUUUUAUCAACUGGAGGAUUACUGGGGGCUAGUGAUGAGGGUGGUGUCACCCAUUUUCAGCUCACAUCUGCUUCCAUCUCUGCCACUACCUCUCUCUGUUACCUUUGGCAGGUUACUUGCUUCUUGCUGCUAUUUUCAUCUAAGUGCAGAAAGAGGAUGAGGAUGAUAAUGUAGUAGGUGUUUUGAAGACUAACUCAAUAGUACUUAAGGCCCUUUCAGACACUCAAGUGAAAACAUGGGUGUAUAGAAAAAUCAAAGUAUAAUUAUUAUGAAAAUGUGUAUUAUUGUUUAGAGUAAAAGGGAAUUGAAGGCAGGGUGAUGAGAUAAUCAGACCACUGGAACUGAAGGAUUUUUGAGACAUAAUAUGAAAUAAGUGGAAAGCAGAACAUUUAAUUGAGCUUAGGGAGGGUUUUCCUAGCAAGCAGUGUUCAUUUCCUUCAUGAUUUUUUUUUUCAUAUUGGUAUCUUAAACAAGAUUAAGAUGUUGCAGUGUGACUGGAAAUAGGAAGUUGUAAAACAGUAUUUUAAGGGCCCAAUCCUGUAACCUUAUUCACAGUCCCAGUGAAUAUAACGCUAACAAGGUAAGUCCAGAUUUAGAUCCCUAUUGUUUUAUUAUUAUUGGUUAUAUCAUUAGAUAAAGGUCUACCAGAGACAAUACAACUUUUUUUACAAUUGUGAGACUUCUUAAGAAUUAUGUAAUCAAAAAGUACCUGAAGUUUUACCAUAUUUGGCUUUAUUGGAGAUGAAAGGUCCAAACUAACCCACAUUGCCCUCAAGUCCCCUGGCUGCCCCUAAGAAGCCAAUGUUACUUCUGUAACUAAUGUUCUUUUUGAGAGAACAUCUGGUACUUCAUGAAAUGGAGUAUCUACAACUUGAUGCAGAAAAGGCUAAAGGGAUGACACUUACAAAGCUCAGGUUGCCACAAAUCAGAUUUAACUAUAAUUGUACUGUGCAUGAUGUAAAGUCAGACAUAAAUGAGGUAUAACACUAAGAGAGUAGAAGUUAUAUUACCCUACAUUUCAUUUAUUUAACUUUCUUUAAUUUAUCUGCUUGUUUGGAUUACACAGAACCAUGAACAUUCCAGUAGCAGCCCUCUAGUUGGGAUUUCUAUUUAUAGCGUGCUGUCUCUUCAUUGGAUGCCCCUCUGCAUUAGUUUCAAUGAGGCAAUAAUUAGGCCCUUAAAGCAGACUUAAGAUAUCUUUAAUAAUUGAAUUUAGAUACAAAAUUUACCCAGUAUUCUUUCAAAAGACAAUAAUUUUUUGUAAUUCUUUGGGACUGUGAAAGAGGAUACAUUUCUAAAUGUUCCUCUUUUACAUUUUUCUCCUGUUUUUCUUUUAUGUAUUUUGGGGCUAAACAGCCACUAUCUCCACAAAUUUCAGAUUUCAUACAUGCACAUAUUUAGCCAUAAGGCAAUUCUGAACUUUCAAAAUUAAGCAUACAGCUAUUCCCUGUAGAAUAGAAGAUUUCUUUUGCAUUCUAAAUAAUUUCUGUCUUGAUAGCCAGGGGAACUACUUAGCUCUAUGGGAUGCUUAACUAGGCUCAGACUUUGCUGCUAAGUUGGAGAGAGAUGGGUUUGGUGGAUGGACUGUUCGAUGGGUAAGGAACUGGCUGGAUGGCUGCAUCCAAACAGUUACAGCCAAAGGCUUAGUGUCCAAGUGCAAACCACUAACCACUGGUGACCCUCGAGGGUCCAUACUGGGACAUAUGGGACAUUUUUUGUCCCAUAUAUUUGUCCCAUACUGGGACAAAUCCAGUCCAAAAUACUAAUAUCUUCAUCAAUGACAUAAACAGCAGGAUCGAGUGCACCCUCAGCAAGUUUGCAGCUGACACCAAGCUGAGCUGUGCAGUGGAUUUGCUAGAGGGAAGACAUGUCACCCAGAGGGACCUUGACAGGCUGGAGCAGUGGGCCCAUGUGAGCCUCACGUGGUUCAGCAAGGCCAACUGCACCUGGGUCGGGGCAACCCCUGGUAUCAGUACAGGCUGGGGGACGAAGGGAUUGAGAGCAGCCCUGUGGAGAAGGACUUGGGGAUACUGGUGCAUGAAAAGCUAGACAUGAGCUGACUGUACACUCGCAGCCCAGAAAGCCAACUGUAUCCUGGGCUGCAUCACAAGAAGCGUGGCCAGCGGUUUGAGGGAGGUGAUUCUACCCCACUCUGGUGAGACCCCACCUGCAGUACUGUGUUCAGCUCUGGGGCCUCAACAUAAGGACACGGACCUGUUGGAGCAGGUCCAG